rnacentral:rRNA from 1 species
UGGUUCUCUCCGAAAUAGCUUUAGGGCUAGCCUCAAGUGAUGAUUAUUGGAGGUAGAGCACUGUUUGGACGAGGGGCCCCUCUCGGGUUACCGAAUUCAGACAAACUCCGAAUGCCAAUUAAUUUAACUUGGGAGUCAGAACAUGGGUGAUAAGGUCCGUGUUCGAAAGGGAAACAGCCCAGACCUCCAGCUAAGGUCCCAAAAUAUAUGUUAAGUGGAAAAGGAUGUGGCGUUGCCCAGACAACUAGGA